UACAGAGGGUGCGAGCGUUAAUCGGAAUUACUGGGCGUAAAGCGCGCGUAGGCGGCUUUGUAAGUCGGUUGUGAAAUCCCCGGGCUUAACCUGGGAACUGCAUCCGAGACUGCAUGGCUAGAGUAUGGGAGAGGGAAGUGGAAUUUCAGGUGUAGCGGUGAAAUGCGUGGAUAUCUGAAGGAACAUCAGUGGCGAAAGCGACUUCCUGGACCAAUACUGACGCUCAUGUGCGAAAGCGUGGGGAGCAAACAGG
rnacentral:rRNA from 1 species